rnacentral:tRNA from 1 species
CCCCCGGAGGUCCAGCGGUUAAGACUCUGUGCUUCUACUGCAGGGAGCACAGGUUCGAUCCCUGAUCGGGGAC